rnacentral:rRNA from 1 species
UACAUGGGGUGCAAACGUUGCUCGGAAUUAUUGGGCGUAAAGCGCACGUAGGCGGUUCGUUAAGUCGGAUGUGAAAGCCCUCGGCUCAACUGAGGAAGUGCACCCGAAACUGGCGAGCUUGAGUACGAAAGAGGAUCGCGGAAUUCCCGGUGUAGAGGUGAAAUUCGUAGAUAUCGGGGAGGAACACCGGGCGGCGAAGGCGGCGAUCUGGGUCGAUACUGACGCUGAGGUGCGAAAAGCGUGGGGAGCAAACAGG